rnacentral:pre_miRNA from 1 species
GCUUUUUCUAGGUCUCAAUUGGUUUUAAAUUUUAAUAAAAGCAGUCGAGAUCUAGAAAAAGAUUA